rnacentral:rRNA from 1 species
UGAGAGAGAGUCCUGCGUCUGAUUAGUUAGUUGGUGAGGUAACGGCUCACCAAGACUUCGAUCAGUAGCCGGCCUGAGAGGGCGAUCGGCCACACUGGAACUGAGACACGGUCCAGACUCCUACGGGAGGCAGCAGUGGGGAAUCUUGCACAAUGGAGGAAACUCUGAUGCAGCGAUGCCGCGUGAGUGAAGAAGGCCUUUGGGUUGUAAAGCUCUUUUGUAGGAGAAGAUAAUGACUGUACCCUAAGAAUAAGGUCCGGCUAACUUCGUGCCAGCAGCCGCGGUAAUACGAAGGGACCUAGCGUAGUUCGGAAUUACUGGGCGUAAAGCGCGCGUAGGCCGUUGAGUUAGUUAAUUGUGAAAUCCCAAAGCUUAACUUUGGAACUGCAAUUAAAACUGCUCGACUAGAGUUUGAUAGAGGAAAGCGGAAUACAUAGUGUAGAGGUGAAAUUCGUAGAUAUUAUGUAGAACACCAGUUGCGAAGGCGGCUUUCUGGGUCAACACUGACGCUGAGGCGCGAAAGUAUGGGUAGCAAAGAGGAUUAGAUACCCUCGUAGUCCAUACCAUAAACGAUGAUUGCUAGAUGUUGGAAAUUUAUUUUCAGUAUCGCAGCUAACGCAUUAAGCAAUCCGCCUGGGGAGUACGACCGCAAGGUUAAAACUCAAAUGAAUUGACGGGGACCCGCACAAGCGGUGGAGCAUGCGGCUUAAUUCGACGCAACGCGAAGAACCUUACCAAGGCUUGACAUAUAGCGAAAAGUGGCAGAGAUGUCAUGUCCGCAAGGGCGCUAUACAGGUGGUGCAUGGUUGUCGUCAGCUCGUGUCGUGAGAUGUUGGGUUAAGUCCCGCAACGAGCGCAACCCUCGUUCUGUGUUACCAGCAUUUAGUUGGGGACUCACAGGAGACUGCCGGGGUCAACUCGGAGGAAGGUGGGGAUGACGUCAAAUCAUCAUGCCCCUUAUGUCUUGGGCUGCACGCAUGCUACAAUGGCCGGUACAAAGUGCUGCGAGAUCGUAAGAUUGAGCGAAUCACAUAAAGCCGGUCUCAGUUCGGAUUGAGGUCUGCAACUCGACCUCAUGAAGUCGGAGUUGCUAGUAAUCGUAGAUCAGCAACGCUACGGUGAAUACGUUCCCGGGGCUUGUACACACCGCCCGUCACGUCACGAAAGUCGGUAACACCCAAAGUUAGUGGCCCAACCGUAAGGGGGGAGCUACCUAAGGUGGGAUCGGUGAUUGGGACGAAGUCAUAACAAGGUAACCGUA